UGAACCUUCUAAUUACAAAGAACUUCUUCAAUUUUUGCAAAUAAUUGAGAAAGAUAUAUCAGAAUAGCAAUAUACUAUUUAUAAAAAAAGAUCUGCAAUGUUUAUAGAAAAUCAGCAUCACUUCAAUAAAUCUAGCAAUCAUCAAAAUAAAAGAAAAAAAAAGGAAUAAAUAAAUUCAACUGAAGAACAAACUAGAAAGAAUAAAUGGAUGAAGAAAUACUCACAUUGUUAUAAGAAGGAUUAUAUUAUGAAUAAUUGUUGAAUACUAUAUCUCAAAAAACAUAAUUAGAUCUGAUAAAUAAAAAACUAAUAAUCUCAAUUAUAGAAGCAGCCACUGC
rnacentral:sRNA from 1 species